rnacentral:rRNA from 1 species
UACGAAGGGGGCUAGCGUUGCUCGGAAUUACUGGGCGUAAAGGGUGUGUAGGCGGAUACUUAAGUCGGGGGUGAAAGCCCCAGGGCUCAACCCUGGAAUAGCCUUCGAUACUGGGUAUCUUGAGUUCGGGAGAGGUAAGUGGAACUCCGAGUGUAGAGGUGAAAUUCGUAGAUAUUCGCAAGAACACCAGUGGCGAAGGCGGCUCACUGGCCCGGUACUGACGCUGAGGUGCGAAAGCGUGGGGAGCAAACAGG